rnacentral:rRNA from 1 species
GCUUAACACAUGCAAGUCGAGGGGCAGCAUGGUCUUAGCUUGCUAAGGCCGAUGGCGACCGGCGCACGGGUGAGUAACACGUAUCCAACCUGCCGUCUACUCUUGGACAGCCUUCUGAAAGGAAGAUUAAUACAAGAUGGCAUCAUGAGUCCGCAUGUUCACAUGAUUAAAGGUAUUCCGGUAGACGAUGGGGAUGCGUUCCAUUAGAUAGUAGGCGGGGUAACGGCCCACCUAGUCUUCGAUGGAUAGGGGUUCUGAGAGGAAGGUCCCCCACAUUGGAACUGAGACACGGUCCAAACUCCUACGGGAGGCAGCAGUUAGGAAUAUUGGUCAAUGGGCGAGAGCCUGAACCAGCCAAGUAGCGUGAAGGAUGACUGCCCUAUGGGUUGUAAACUUCUUUUAUAAAGGAAUAAAGUCGGGUAUGGAUACCCGUUUGCAUGUACUUUAUGAAUAAGGAUCGGCUAACUCCGUGCCAGCAGCCGCGGUAAUACGGAGGAUCCGAGCGUUAUCCGGAUUUAUUGGGUUUAAAGGGAGCGUAGAUGGAUGUUUAAGUCAGUUGUGAAAGUUUGCGGCUCAACCGUAAAAUUGCAGUUGAUACUGGAUAUCUUGAGUGCAGUUGAGGCAGGCGGAAUUCGUGGUGUAGCGGCGAAAUGCUUAGAUAUCACGAAGAACUCCGAUUGCGAAGGCAGCCUGCUAAGCUGCAACUGACAUUGAGGCUCGAAAGUGUGGGUAUCAAACAGGAUUAGAUACCCUGGUAGUCCACACGGUAAACGAUGAAUACUCGCUGUUUGCGAUAUACUGCAAGCGGCCAAGCGAAAGCGUUAAGUAUUCCACCUGGGGAGUACGCCGGCAACGGUGAAACUCAAAGGAAUUGACGGGGGCCCGCACAAGCGGAGGAACAUGUGGUUUAAUUCGAUGAUACGCGAGGAACCUUACCCGGGCUUAAAUUGCAGAUGAAUUACGGUGAAAGCCGUAAGCCGCAAGGCAUCUGUGAAGGUGCUGCAUGGUUGUCGUCAGCUCGUGCCGUGAGGUGUCGGCUUAAGUGCCAUAACGAGCGCAACCCUUGUUGUCAGUUACUAACAGGUUCCGCUGAGGACUCUGACAAGACUGCCAUCGUAAGAUGUGAGGAAGGUGGGGAUGACGUCAAAUCAGCACGGCCCUUACGUCCGGGGCUACACACGUGUUACAAUGGGGGGUACAGAGGGCCGCUACCACGCGAGUGGAUGCCAAUCCCCAAAACCUCUCUCAGUUCGGACUGGAGUCUGCAACCCGACUCCACGAAGCUGGAUUCGCUAGUAAUCGCGCAUCAGCCACGGCGCGGUGAAUACGUUCCCGGGCCUUGUACACACCGCCCGUCAAGCCAUGGGAGCCGGGGGUACCUGAAGUGCGUAACCGCGAGGAGCGCCCUAGGGUAAAACUGGUGACUGGGGCUAAGUC